rnacentral:rRNA from 1 species
AUUGAACGCUGGCGGCAGGCCUAACACAUGCAAGUCGAGCGGUAGAGAGAAGCUUGCUUCUCUUGAGAGCGGCGGACGGGUGAGUAAUGCCUAGGAAUCUGCCUAGUGGUGGGGGACAACGUUCGGAAACGGACGCUAAUACCGCAUACGUCCUACGGGAGAAAGCGGGGGAUCUUCGGACCUCGCGACAUUAGAUGAGCCUAGGUCGGAUUAGCUAGUUGGUGAGGUAAUGGCUCACAAAGGCGACGAUCCGUACCUGGUCUGAGAGGAUGAUCAGUCACACUGGAACUGAGACACGGUCCAGACUCCUACGGGAGGCAGCAGUGGGGAAUAUUGGACAAUGGGCGAAAGCCUGAUCCAGCCAUGCCGCGUGUGUGAAGAAGGUCUUCGGAUUGUAAAGCACUUUAAGUUGGGAGGAAGGGUAGUAACCUAAUACGUUGCUACUUUGACGUUACCGACAGAAUAAGCACCGGCUAACUUCGUGCCAGCCGCCGCCGUAACAC